AACGAACGCUGGCGGCAUGCCUAACACAUGCAAGUCGAACGAGACCUUCGGGUCUAGUGGCGCACGGGUGCGUAACGCGUGGGAAUCUGCCCUUUGCUUCGGAAUAACAGUUAGAAAUGACUGCUAAUACCGGAUGAUGUCUUCGGACCAAAGAUUUAUCGGCAAAGGAUGAGCCCGCGUAGGAUUAGGUAGUUGGUGGGGUAAAGGCCUACCAAGCCGACGAUCCUUAGCUGGUCUGAGAGGAUGAUCAGCCACACUGGGACUGAGACACGGCCCAGACUCCUACGGGAGGCAGCAGUGGGGAAUAUUGGACAAUGGGCGAAAGCCUGAUCCAGCAAUGCCGCGUGAGUGAUGAAGG
rnacentral:rRNA from 1 species